rnacentral:rRNA from 1 species
GAUGAACGCUAGCGGCAGGCCUAAUACAUGCAAGUCGAACGGUGUCUUCGGACAUAGUGGCGCACGGGUGCGUAACACGUAUGCAACCUACCUUACAUUGGGGGAUAGCCUUUCGAAAGGGAGAUUAAUACCGCAUAAGACAGUAGCUGGGCAUCCAGCAGCUGUUAAGGAUUUAUCGAUGUAAGCUGGGCAUUAGUCGAAUUAGCUAGUUGGUGAGGUAAGGGCUCACCAAUGCAAUGAUUGGUAGGGGAACUGAGAGGUCAAUCCCCCACACUGGCACUGAGAUACGGGACAGACUCCUACGGGAGGCAGCAGUAGGGAAUAUUGGGCAAUGGACGCAAGUCUGACCCAGCCAUGCCGCGUGCAGGAUGAAGGCGUUAUGCGUUGUAAACUGCUUUUAUACAGGAAGAAACGACUCUUGCGAGAGGCAUUGACGGUACUGUAUGAAUAAGCACCGGCUAACUCCGUGCCAGCCGCCGCAGUAAAAC